ensembl:lncRNA
GUGAGAGCUGUGCAUGACCUGGUGCUCCUCAAAUGACCCCUACUCCUCCCUUCCCCACAGUAUUCAGUAUCUCCUGUGAGGUUUUUGUCUUUCCUUCCAAGAUUGCAGUCUCCGCCAUCAGAUACCUUUUUCAUUCCUAAUCUCUAUGGCUUGCAGCGUUGGACUUCCCUGGACAGUUGGAAAGGGGUGAGUGAUUCAUUCAUCCUUACCAGAAGGUGAUCUCUGCUGGUCUUGUCUUGUUUCCAACAGGUGGCAGUGGAGUUUUACAUCCCUCCCGAGCGGUGCAAGGACUCUGCUGAGGCUCUUGGGGAACACAGCAGGAACCCACAGCCAGAGAUGGACGCCAGGAUCCGCUCCUUCCUGUGUCUGGCAAGCUCUGUUGACCACUGAGGUCAUUCCCACGCUUGCAGUGGCUGAAAAUGGACGCCUGAUGGUAUCUAUGAUGCCCCAAAUGCAAUCUUGUAAGGUUUGGCCAAGUGUGGUGGGAAAGGAAGAGGAUUGCAGAGACGACCACCGGGUGCCAUUUGCACUUCCUGACCUCCCUGGGUGGUGUCGGUGGAGAACUGCGCCCUUUUGAUGGGCGCAAAGAGUGUAUUGUGACUCUAGGUGGGCAAAACAGGAACGCAGAGCCAGAGAUGGACACCAAGAUGCAUUCCUUCCUCUGUCUGUGACCCAACUGCAGGCUGCUGUGCAUUGACCAAGGGUGAUGCCAAGAGAAGAGGUGGGCUCCAAAAGAGGCUGCGGGAUAGGAGACUCUGCUGUCAGAUGUCGUUGCCUGUCCAUCCCUCCCGAGCUUGCAGAGUUGGAUGUUACCUCAGCAUUGGAUAAGGGGUAAGUGAUUCCUGCAUCCUUACCAGAAGGUAAUCUCUACUCGUCUUGUGCUGUGUGGAACAGGUUGCAGUGGAGAAGUGCAGUUGUCCGGGGCGCUGUAAGGACUCUGCUGAGGCUCUUGGUGGACACAGCAGGAACCC